AACGAAUGCUGGCGGCGGGCUUAACACAUGCAAGUCGAGCGCCCCGCAAGGGGAGCGGCAGACGGGUGAGUAACGCGUGGGAAUCUACCCAUCUCUACGGAAUAACGCAUGGAAACGUGUGCUAAUACCGUAUACGUCCUUCGGGAGAAAGAUUUAUCGGAGAUGGAUGAGCCCGCGUUGGAUUAGCUAGUUGGUGGGGUGAAGGCCUACCAAGGCGACGAUCCAUAGCUGGUAUGAGAGGAUGAUCAGCCACACUGGGACUGAGACACGGCCCAGACUCCUACGGGAGGCAGCAGUGGGGAAUAUUGGACAAUGGGCGCAAGCCUGAUCCAGCCAUGCCGCGUGAGUGAUGAAGGCCCUAGGGUUGUAAAGCUCUUUCACCGGUGAAGAUAAUGACGGUAACCGGAGAAGAAGCCCCGGCUAACUUCGUGCCAGCCGCCGCCGUAACAC
rnacentral:rRNA from 1 species